CUGAAAUCUGAUUCCCAGAUGGCUCUGCAACUGGCGUGUGGAUACUGGAUAAAGCCAUAGAAUCAGUACAAAAUACUGACUUCAAUACACAUAGAGAGGGAUAGAAACAAAGUAGGAAUAGGAUAUAUAGAAAAUUGGGAUUUGGCAAUGGUAGGGUUUUGGCUUUUUGUGCUUUUGUUCAACACCUAGUGAGAAAAGUAAAAGGGAACAUACGACGCAUGAGAAAACAGUAGAACAAGCGGUGCUUGUGCUUCUUCUUAUAAGAGCUACCUAAACCACUCAAAAACCCCCCACAUCUCUCCCUCUUUUUCUCUUGAAAACAUCUUUGGUUCACACUUCAGUCCAUAGGUCUAGUUUAGUGUUUAGGCGCAUGGACACUCAAAGAAGUUCUCUUCUUGGCUGG
rnacentral:misc_RNA from 1 species